GAAUGUUUAGUAUUAUGGUUUGAGUUUGGCAUUAAAUUAUUUUAUGCAAUCAUAGAUAUUUCGUAAUUUUACUAAUAUAAAAUAUACUAUUUAUUUGGUUCAUUCUGUUUGAGUUUAAGAUUUAUAUUUGGAUUAAGGUUUUAUAUUUGAGUUUAUGAUUUAGUAUUUAAGGGUGGGUGGAAUUGGAAUAGGGUUUAUUAUUUUGGUGGGUGGAAAUAAAGUUGCGUGCUGUAUUAUUUCGAUGAUAUAUAGAACAAUCUGGUUUAACUGUGCGAAGUAAACUGAAUACACCAUUUAUUGCAAAAGUGUUCUAUGUAUUUUCCGAGCACUGUGAAAACAUAUGCGGUUACUGUGUAUUUUUUGAGUCCUAUAUUAUUUUAACGAACAAAAUCUUAUAUUUUUAUCCGCUCAUUUUAUUGCACCCCAUAAAUAUGUAUAAGGUAAAUUAAUGUGUUACGUGGCUGGCUGU
rnacentral:lncRNA from 1 species